UUCUUCUAUCUCUUUUAUUUAGUAUAUGCAUCUAUAUCAAAGUGAUAUAUACGACUAUCUAGAUUGAAAUUUACAUUUGUUUAGAACCCUUCCAUCAUUGUUGUUGUCGACAUGAGCACAUUUUUUUUCUGUUUUUAUUUUUGCAGGUGUUAAGGUGUGAUCCCGAGUGCGUAGGUUUGAGUGCCAUCAGUUUUUGACACUGUUGGUGAUAAGGUUUCCGUGGUUGACUAUGUGAUACAGGUAGGUCUCCAGAGCCAACGAAAAUGGAAUCUUCCUCAUAUAGAGUGUAGUGGCAUUGUCGGUGUGACCAUGGAGUUCCAAAGCCAUCAAUUCCCGUUGUAGCUCGGCAGUUCCAAUAGAAUUUUUAGUUUUUUUUUAUUUCAGUAUUCAGUAUUUGACAUUGUGUUACAUACAAGAUGCAGAUUUUAAAUUAACAAAAAAUGAUGUUGUCUAUAGUUUAUACAAAAAAUAACUGGUGGUUGCUUAUAGGUAUACUAAAUGAACAUUUAAUUUUUUUA